CUGGAAAUAAUAAUGGUUUGAGAGAUUCAUCUCUCAGGAGCAUGUAAUUUUGCUAAUAAAGCAAGAUCUUUCUUGACAACCGCCCUGUGAAACUUCCCCUCGUCUUGAUUCCUCAUAAACCUGGCACAUGAUUUACAAACCAUAAGGAAAUUAUACAUGGCAAGAGAAAUUCCAUUUCUCACUAUCUGUCCUUAUUCCCUGUAAAGUUUAGACUCAUCAAACUUAUUAAACUAGUCUACUAGUUCAGGUCAAGAUAGGUAGUGUAAGUGUGUAACGAUGAAAUGUGGUGGAGUAGCUGCGUGUAGACAUGGGCCCAUUCUGGAUUUGGACUGGAAUCAAGUCAAGCCCGGAUUUGAUGAGAACUGUCUUGACUCUUGAAUUGGACCGGACCAAUUUUAUAUGAUUUAGUUUGGAUCUGCGUCAAAACAGGAUUUUUAACUUUUUUAAAAAAUUUUAAAGAAUUUAAAUUUUUUAUUUUUGAAUUUGAUCAAACUGGAUGAACUGAAUCGAAAUUGAACCGGAACUGGGACCGGAAUCGAGGAGUACCCUUCAGUCUAGCCUAGGAUCCCCAUCCCUUCGAAUGGGAACUGCUGGUCUGGUUGUGGUUCCAGCCCUAACCGAGACCGUGCCCAUGUCUAGCUACAGCCUGCAGGGAAAGGAGCUAGAGGUGG
rnacentral:misc_RNA from 1 species